GGAAUCUUCCACAAUGGACGAAAGUCUGAUGGAGCAACGCCGCGUGAGUGAAGAAGGUUUUCGGAUCGUAAAGCUCUGUUGUUGGUGAAGAAGGAUAGAGGCAGUAACUGGUCUUUAUUUGACGGUAAUCAACCAGAGAGUCACGGCUAACUACGUGCCAG
rnacentral:rRNA from 1 species